CGAAGGCUAGCUAGGAGUGCGUGAGUUGCUGUUCUUCUUCACCCCCUGUUCCCAUCUUCCUCUGAACUUCCCCACUGUAAUCGGUUGUUAACAGGGAUGACUUCGGACCACGAGCAGGUAGCUGCGACUACACGCUACUAGUAAGCAUCUACCUAUAAGCUUUCAUAUCUGGAUCUCUUGUUAGCUUAAUGGAAUGUUACCGCAGAGUUAGGAUCUCUUGUUAUUCUCUCAUAUCUGGAUCUCAGUAGAAAUCAAUUUUCAGGAAGCAUUCCACCUCAGAUAGGAUAUUGUCACUCUUUAACGUCAUUACUCGUGUCAGACAACUUAUUGACAGGACAGAUACCACAAGAACUUGGAUAUCUUGCCAACCUAUAUGAGCUUGAUUUGAGUAAAAACAAUUUAGGAAGUGCCAUCCCAGUGACUUCUCUUAUUUUUACCAACUGUUGAAGCUCAAUUUAUCAUAUAAUAAUUUGGAUGGUAGUGUUCCAUUUAUCUCUGCUGCCAUGAUCUCACUUGACCAUAAUACGGACUUAUGUGGUGAUUCGUAUGGCUUAACUCCAUGUGAUACACCGAAGCUCGACGUGGAACCACUGUUUUGGUUACCGGUCGAAAUUUUAAGAUAUCCCAUGGUUACCGCGUAUUUCCGUGCCCCUCGGUAAAUUGCCAUAGCGAGCAAAAAAUACCAUUUUUUUGAUUUUUUUGAAUUUAAACACUCAAUUUACUGUAAAGUACGUAGGAUCUAAUUAAUGCCAUGAGAGUUGGUCCUGACGUGUUGGUAGCAACCUAGUUCAUGUUUUGAGAGGUCUCUGGUUCGAAUAUUCGUUCAUUCACUUAUUUGAAUUCAAAAUUCAACUACAAAAUUCGCUUUAAAUAUUCUCGGUAUUUCUCGAUAUAUCUCGGUAACCGUGGUAACCACAUUUACCAGUCCCCCUCGGUAAAAUUGCCUCAUUCGGUAACCAAAACCUUGCGUGGAACACCAAAAAAGGAAACAUCCAAGUAUGGUACUUCUACCUCUUUUUGCACCCUUUGCCUUUGCUUGCCUCUCAAUAGUAAGCAUCACGGUCGUCUGUCGAAGAAGAAAGUAUGUAAAAAGUACAAGCAAAAGCAAGUCUGGAGAUAUACUUUCCAUAUGGAAUUUUGACGGGAAGAUCGUGUUCGAAGACAUCCUCAGCGCAACAGAAAAUUUCAAUGAGAAAUAUUGCAUUGGUGUUGGAGGAUACGGAUCUGUCUUCAGAGUUCAUCUUGAAGGCGGGAUUAUCUUCGCCAUCAAGCUCCUUCACUCAGUAGAAGAAUACAGCGACGAGGGAACAUUUCACGCCGAGAUUGAAGUGUUGACAAAAAUCAGGCACCGAUGCAUCGUCAAGCUGUAUGGCUUCUGUUCACACUCCCAGUGCAAAUUCCUCGUGUAUGAUCUUAUCGAGAGGGGAAGCUUAUCAUCCAUUAUGCACGAGCAAGAGUUUGUGAAGGAGCUGGAUUAGCCCAGGAGAGUUGUUGUUGUGACAGACGUAGCUCAAGCUCUCUCCUACUUGCACCAUGAUUGCGGCGAUCCAAUCGUGCACCGCGACAUAAAAAGCAGCAACAUUCUUCUGGACCUCGAUUAUAAGGCUCGUGUUUCAGACUUUGGCAUGUCGAGGAAACUGAAGCAUGGUUACUCAAGCUGGAGCACUAUUUUUGCAGGCACAUGUGGCUACAUAGCCCCUGGUACUUACAUGGGCUUAAUCCAGUUUUAUUAUUUUUAUGAAAUGCGAUUCAGAAAGAGAGAAGAAGUAUAAUCUCUGAUCUGAUAUAGAGCUGAUUUUGUUUCUUAUUACAGAGAUGUCAUAUACUAUGGUGUUGACUGAGAAGUGCGACGUGUACAGCUUCGGCGUGGUUGCGCUGGAAGUUUUGAUGGGAAAGCACCCAGGUGAUCUGCUCCUUCUGUUCUUUUGCCGAACAGAGCAGCUGGGGAAGUUAAACGAUAUCCUGGAUCGAUGCGUCGCAGCGCGGUCAACUAUUGACGAGGAGAAGGAUGUCAUUUUGGUUACCUUGGUGGCCUUUGCUUGCCUGCAAGUCAAUCCCAAAGCCCGGCCAACAAUGCAACAGGUAUAUCAGGCACUGACAAAUAGAAAUCGGCCAGCAUGCAUUCCCAGGCCCCUUCAUGAAAUCAGGCUACAAGAUUUGCAUGAUUAUUGUGGUGCCAUAAAGAAUAUAUGAAUUGGUUGCGCUGGAAGUUUUGAUGGGAAAGCACCCAGGUGAUCUGCUCCUUCUGUUCUUUUGCCGAACAGAGCAGUUGGGGAAGUUCAAUGAUAUCCUGGAUCGACGCGUCGCGGCACUGCCAGCCAUUGAUGAGGAGAAGAAUGUCAUUUUGAUUGCCUUGGUGGCGUUUGCUUGCCUGCAAGUCAAUCCCAAAGCCCGGCCAACAAUGCAGCAGGUAUAUCACGCACUGACAAAUAGAAACAGCCCAUCAUUCAUGCCCAGGCCCUUUCAUGAAAUCAGGCUACAAGAUUUUCAUGAUUUUUGUGGCACCAUAAAGAAUAUAUGAAUCGAUAUGGGUGUUCUACUAUGUUAGCAAUUAUAUAUUUGGCAUAUGUGUAUUUGAGAUAACGUAUCUACCCUGUUAUCUUUGAACUUUGAAGUGUCUGUAACAAUUAGAUUGCUGUCCGUUUCGGAAAAAAAAAACAAUUAGAUUGCUGAUAAAUGAAGCGGCAUUUUGAUUUCGAGAAUUAGCUUGUUGAUAUUUGCCCAAGUACUGAUUUACUCUAGUUUGUUUGACUGACAUUUUGCAGGAAUGUUUGGAUGGUGCCUCUGUGAUUAGCUGGUUUCUUAGAAGGUGAUUAACUAUUUAUUGUUGUCGAGUGUUUGUAAUCAGGCAAUCUGUUGUUUAUUUUGGCACUAGGUUUAUCUUUUGCCUGAAGCCGUCUGGGAGAAAGACAUUCAAGAGACUUGAUCAUAUGACCCAUAUCGGUUUUCGCAUAGAUCAUAUGGCCUGAUUUAGUUCGUGAUAGAUCAUGCAUGUGCCCUUGUUUUGUUUGCCUUUCUGGUCAUUUACUGUUUUUAACAAGUACUCCCUCCGAUCCAUAUUAAUAGACGCACACUUAGUACAACU
rnacentral:lncRNA from 1 species